UAUCUCUGUAGAGUCUGCAUAUCAAUAAGCGGAGGAAAAGAAACUAACUAGGAUUCCCUUAGCUAACGGCGAGUGAAGCGGGAAGAGCUCAAAUUUGAAAUCUUCAAGGUUCUACCUUGACGAAUUGUAGUUUAAAGAAGUGUUUUCUGUUGGAGUUUUGGUAAAAGUUCUUUGGAAUAGGACAUCAUAGAGGGUGAGAAUCCCGUAUUUGACCAUUAUUUCCAGCUUUGUGAUACACUUUCAAAGAGUCGGAUUGUUUGGGAAUGCAGUCCAAAAUGGGUGGUAAAUUUCAUCUAAAGCUAAAUAUUGGCGAGAGACCGAUAGCGAACAAGUACCGUGAGGGAAAGAUGAAAAGAACUUUGAAAAGAGAGUUAAACAGUACGUGAAAUUGUCAAAAGGGAAGCGUUUGACACCAGUGUUGUUCUCUCGAAAAUCAAUUAAAAAAGUCAGGAUUUUGUAUUGUAAUUGACCUUUAUCAGCUUACUGCUACUCUUUUCUUGUCUUUUUUUAAUGCACUUCUCGUUUAACAAGUCAACAUCAAUUUCUUUUGUUGUAAAAGAGUCAUUGGAAGGUGGCUUUCACUUUCGGUGAACGUGUUUAUAGCCUUUGGCCUCUGCAAUCGGAGAGAUUGAGGUCCUGCAGCGUAGAUCCUUCGGGGUUAGAUACAGUUAGAUGCUAAGUUAUAGCCUUUUCAUAGACAACUUGUUGACUAUAAUCAGUCAUGUAGCUUACUCGCUUAUGGCUAUUUUACCUACGCUUAGGAUGUUGAUAGUCACAGCGUGUAC
rnacentral:rRNA from 1 species